rnacentral:rRNA from 1 species
UAGGGAAUCUUCCACAAUGGACGCAAGUCUGAUGGAGCAACGCCGCGUGAGUGAAGAAGGUUUUCGGACCGUAAAGCUCUGUUGUUGGUGAAGAAGGAUAGAGGUAGUAACUGGCCUUUAUUUGACGGUAAUCAACCAGAAAGUCACGGCUAACUACGUGCCAGCAGCCGCGGUAAUACGUAGGUGGCAAGCGUUGUCCGGAUUUAUUGGGCGUAAAGCGAGCGCAGGCGGAAGAAUAAGUCUGAUGUGAAAGCCCUCGGCUUAACCGAGGAAUUGCAUCGGAAACUGUUUUCUUGAGUGCAGAAGAGGAGAGUAGAACUCCAUGUGUAGCGGUGGAAUGCGUAGAUAUAUGGAAGAAUACCAGUGGCGAAGGCGACUCUCUGGUCUGCAACUGACGCUGAGGCUCGAAAGCAUGGGUAGCGAACAGGAUUAGAUACCCUGGUAGUCCAUGCCGUAAACGAUGAGUGCUAAGUGUUGGGAGGCUUCCGCCUCUCAGUGCUGCAGCUAACGCAUUAAGCACUCCGCCUGGGGGAGUACGACCGCAAGGUUGAAAC